rnacentral:rRNA from 1 species
GGGCCCGCACAAGCGGUGGAGCAUGUGGUUUAAUUCGAUGAUACGCGAGGAACCUUACCAGGGCUUAAAUGUAGUCUGACAGCUUUAGAGAUAGAGUUUUCUUCGGACAGAUUACAAGGUGCUGCAUGGUUGUCGUCAGCUCGUGCCGUGAGGUGUCAGGUUAAGUCCUAUAACGAGCGCAACCCCUGUUGUUAGUUGCCAGCGAGUAAUGUCGGGAACUCUAACAAGACUGCCAGUGCAAACUGUGAGGAAGGUGGGGAUGACGUCAAAUCAUCACGGCCCUUACGUCCUGGCUACACACGUGCUACAAUGGCCGGUACAGAGAGCAGCCACUUCGCAAGAAGGAGCGAA